UACGUAGGGUGCAAGCGUUGUCCGGAAUUAUUGGGCGUAAAGAGCUCGUAGGCGGUUUGUUGCGUCGGCUGUGAAAUCCCGAGGCUCAACCUCGGGUCUGCAGUCGAUACGAGCAAACUAGAGUGUUGCAGGGGAGAGUGGAAUUCCUGGUGUAGCGGUGAAAUGCGCAGAUAUCAGGAAGAACACCAAUGGCGAAAGCAGCUCUCUGGGACGGUACUGACGCUGAGACGCGAAAGCGUGGGGAGCGAACAGG
rnacentral:rRNA from 1 species